UUCAUUUUGCACGUAGAGCCCAGCCUCCAGGUCAAGCCUGCACAGACCCUCGCUUGAUAAAGUCCUGUAGUCUCUCUCAAUGCAGAUUUCUUUUUGACCUCCUCCCCCAGGAUCUUGAAUGGGAUGCUGCACAUUCCUCGUGAGAAACCUGAGGUGGCACUAAAAAGACAGCCGCGGUUUUCCUACUGCCUGCUGCCAAGUUUCUUGAGGGCCCAGCUGUUAAGGGGCUGUGGUUGAGUUUUUCAGCAGGAGCAAGUUACAUAACACCACACCCUUGUCCACAGAGGCUCUGAUGUGAUCUUGAGCCUGCCAGACUUCAGACUGGACCUAAACCAUCAACUCUCCUGGGUCUCCAGCUUAGAAAUUCAUCCUGCAGAUCUUGGGACUUGUCAGCCUCCAUUAUCAUCCCUCCAUGACCUACUUUUGGAUCCAGCCAGCUACCUACAUGCCUCAAACCUAUGAUCCUCACUAACUGGAUUACAAUUAUUUACUUGCCUGCUAGACUGAGCUGCUCUCAGAGCUUGAGAAACCAGCCGGAGUCGCUGCCAGUCCCACACUUCUCCCAGCCAGAGGCCACCCUCCAACACAGGAAGCACACUUCUGCACAAGGACUUUACCCGCAAGAAGGGCAGUGGCUCAUAUUGGCCGCCAAGGUCGGUUUUACUCUCCGUCCCAGGGACACCCAGAUCCUGGUGCAGCCUUCUCCUCUGGAGAGUCCAGCCCUCUUAACUUGGACAACUAACCAGAGGCAGAGGACUUGCCAAGUCACCAACUCCUGGACUGCGAUUCUACAGCUGGGCACACACACUUGCCAACAGCAGAAUUUCCACUGUGUAGAUGGCAACCAGCAUGGAUCCUACAUGGUGGUGAGAGAUGGCCACCAGCCAGGGAGGCAGGUGCUGGCAGCAGAGGGCGACCCAGCACAGAGGGGGCACCCAGCUUGGUCUCUGCAGCUCAUAGUGCUAACCUGUGAAGUUGCACAAAAUAGGCAGCAGGCUGCAUUUGGUCCCUGGACUGGAGCUUACUGCCCUCUGCUCUAGACAAUCAACUAAAUAAUACAUCAAGCCCUGAUGUGUUUGCCAAUGUAUGUGAUGAGAAUACCCCCACCCUGGAGGAUGUCAAGCUACCAGCAUGACAUCACGGAAUGUGGGCUUGGGAAGAAACGUGCAGUAGUGCAUGCUAGAUAGUAUUUCCGCUAUAAAGAUGCAGUAGACACGAAUAACUCAAGAGCAUAGUUGAGAGUAAAAUGUCUAAAAUAAUUAGCAAGUGAUGAUUUUCAAGUAUUUAUUACCUUACUUGUAAGUUUAUAUAAUUUAAUAUUUAAUAAUGGCUGUUUGACAACCAGCUUGCAGAAUUCCUGAGAAGUUAGCAGUUUUCAUCUUGGCCGUAGCCCUCGAGUGCCCGUGGUUCAUCUGACUAUACCAGCUAUAUGGAAGGGAAGAAAAAGAAAAGCCACCAACCAUGAGACAUCUGAGAGUUAGCACUUGAUUCAAAAGUAUUAACUUCAUCCAUUCCUAUCACCUGCAUGAUCUUACGUUUUCUUAGUCUUAACAGAGUUUAAAGUUUUUCCUCCUUGGGGUGAAAUGAAGGGGGUUCAUGAGCACCCCCUAGUGGUUAGAGGUGUGGCCAACAUGAAAUUCUCAUCUGUUGUUUUGCUCUCCACUCUUCUAGAUGCUGUAGAUUGAGUGCCUGUUGUAUGCCAGGAAAUCCAUGGGCAUAGUAUGUACAUUAUCUUGUUUAGUCUUUAUAACAAACUUGCAAGUAAACAUUAUUGUCCAAAUUUUGCAGAUUAAGAAACUGAGGUUCAGAAAGCCUAAGCAACUAGCCCAAGGUCACGUAGUGAGGACACAUCAGAGUCAGCAUUCAAACCUCAUAUCUAGCUUUCUUCAAAUCUUUGUGUUGACUUUCAUUCUUCUUCCUUUGAAACCCAUAAUUCUAGUCCCACUGCCAUCUCAGAAACAGAAGAGGCUGAUGUCUCAGGCACCGUGGAUACUGUGGCCUUUGCUUUCCUCUUCUGUGUCUCAGUUAAAUGGCCAGUGGCUCUGGAGAACUCAGGCAUGGAAAAUAAGAGCCAGGGAAGAUCAUUUAGAAAAACAAAUGGAACCUUCACAUUUCAGAGAUUCAGGAAUAAGCUAAGUAAGUAGAUAACUUCACUAUGACGAAGGCAGGCCUUCCAGCCUCCAGAGGCUGUGCUCGUGUCACUGGGCUAUAGUACACAACACUGCUCCCAUAAGUUCCCAGUCAAGGUAGGCUUUGACUUAACAACAUUGUUCUGCCAUUCUCUCCCAUCUCAUGGGCAAGACGGGGAAUGUCCCUGUGGCCAUGGUCCUGUCAGAUAAGAAUGCUUUCUGGAGUAGAUUAAAAGGGGGUGAUUGUGUAUUAGUUUCCAACUGCUGAUAUAACAAGUGAACAUUGAACAAUACAGAUGAAUUUACAGUACAGAUGAGUUAUCUUAUAACUCUAUAGGUCAGAAGUUGAACAUAGGUCUCACUAGACUAAAAGCCUCAGGAGGGCUAUAUUCCUUUCUAGAAGCUUACGAGGAAUAUCAUUUACUUGCCUUUCCCAGGUUCUAGAGAACAACCAUAUUCCUUGCCUUAUGAGUCCCUUUUCAGUCUUCAAAACCAGCAAUGUUACAUCUCUCUGACCCCUUUCCCAUAGUUAUAUCUCCCCCUCUGAAUCAGCGGGGGAAGGUUCUCCACUUUUAAGGACUUAGGUGAUCAGAUUUGGCCUACCCCGAUGAUCUAGAAUAAUCACCACAUUUCCAGGUUUGUCCCCUAACCACAUCUGUAACGCCUCUUUUGCAUGUAAGGAUUUGGGGAUUAAGACAUGGACAUCUUGGGGGACUGUGUUCCUUCACAUCGUGGGGAGUAAGAGAAAACAACAGCCAGAGAGCCCUAAAGGUCAAAGCCAGAGAGGCAAACAUUUAUGUUAAGUCAAAGAAACUAGCAGUAGGAGGCAGGGUCAAGAAAUCUAUGCAUUGAAUACACACAGGAGUAGAGCAAAGAUCAAGGGCAAAGCCAAGUCCAGACAGAAAAGGUCCAAGACAAUUGGAGGACAACUGAGGUAAGAGAGCGGGAAGGGUUGAAAUGCAUCUCUAUUGGGUACUGAUUGGGUCAGCCCUGUUUAAGACUCAGAGGCAGGGUAGACUUAUGUUUUGGCCAUUUCUAAUCACCGCCUCAGUCAGUUGGGCCAGGGUAUGCUGUAUUAACAAAUAACCCCCAAAUCUCUGAGGAUACACUGUAGCUACAUCAUGUGUUGGCGGGAAGAUUGAGGAAGUGUUGGUGGGGGUAGCACUUUGCUCAUCAUAGUCCCUCAGAUAAUGUCCAUUGCAGCGCCAGAGGGAGAGAGCCCUGGAUGGCCUUUCACUGGAGAUUAAAAACUCUGGCCUAGAAAUGCCACCUCUCCCUUCCUUACAGAACUCAUUGUCCAGAGCUAGAAUGAGUCACCAGACCCUGUCUAAGCACAUGCGAACCAGGAAGGAGAAUUCUGCCAUGGACCCAGAAGGGACUUUGGAGAGGAUAGAAACAUCUAGAGAACAGUGCUAAUGGCAUCACAUCUUGAACAACACAUGAUCAUAAUGUACCCGGGUAGAGAAAAUGCCGAAUUCCACUUGAGAGGAAGGAAUAACUGAGCUGGAUGUUGGAGGACAAGGUCUACCAUGCCCUGGGAAGAAUGUGUGCAGAGGCCAAAGGUGGGGAGAAGCCUGGUGUGUGUGAGGGAUGGCUGGCAGUGCUGGUGGCUGCAGAGAGGGUUCCAUUGUAGAACAGGACGAAGUGAAUGGGGAGGACGGAGGGGCCAGCUGGUGCCUGAUUUCUGUGCCUCCCUAGGGAAUUUGGACUUGACCCUAUGGGUAAUGAGUGGGAAUGCCUAAGGGAUUUGAGCACAGGUAAGACAUGAUCAAAUCUGUGUUCUAGAAAGAUAGCUCUAAGCAAUGAGGUCCCAGUGUACAGCACAGGGAACUAUAUGCAGUCUCUUGGGAUAGAACAUGAUGGAAGAUAGCAUGAGGAAAAAAAAA
rnacentral:lncRNA from 9 species